GGGGGGCGGGAGGGGGGUCCGGCCGCCCCCCCCCAGCCCCGUGUGGGGCGAUGCGGCGGCUGCGGUGCUCAGGCUGCUGUCCCGCUGCUGUCCCCGCUUCUGUCUCCCGGGAUGUCCCUCGUAGUGCACAACCAACACCGGCACCAGGACACAGCUGCCUUCCCACUUCUGGAUUGGACACAGGUCUCUCCUCCGGCUUUCAGGGGCAGGAUCUGAGCAAGAGCUUGGACACUUCCAAGAUAGGAAACCCAGAGCCAAGUGCCUCAGCUUCCACAUGCAUGCUGGCAGCCCAAUAAUUGGGUAUUAAACCACAUUUUACUGAACAAUUUGGAGUGUCCCAUUUGGGGUAAGCACCAGCUGGUGCUCCAAGCGCUCUGCUGGGACAAGCAGUUUGGAGCUGGACUUUGCUGAUCCCCGUGGAUCCCUUCCAACUCAGGAUAUUCGAUGAAGUGGCGUGAAUGGAUUAAUUUAAAAUGUGCUGGGGUGGCUCUUUACAUUCAACUGUGAAAACACUCAAGGAGAGAAAUUCCUAGAACCAGCCUUUGCUCCGCUAGCAGUUCCCAGCCUGAACCGUUUCCAGCGCAACCACUGAUCAAACCUACCCCGGUUUUCUUUUCAAGCUCCCCUCAAACAGAAAAAAAAAAUCACAGCCAAGGGUAGAAAAUUUGCCAGGCUCUUUGGGAGCGUGUUGGGAGUUUCGGGUGCUGGGGACGCCGGAGCCAGCAGCCAUCCAGGCUUCUCCAAACUCCUAAUUUUGCAGGGAGAUCUCAAGCUAACGAGCUGUCAGCCGAGUGCCUUCGCACCCGAGGCAGCCGUGGGCUGAGCUCCUGGUUCUUUAUACCUAUUCCAGCAACUUCUGGGCUUUGCAAUAAGUGUCUGCAAAUCCAAUUAGCGUCUUUCUUUGUGGCACUGGAUGCUGGCAGAGAUCCGCUGUGCUGCUGCCAUCUACAGUAGGGCCAGUGCCAAUGGAUAAGAAACAGCUCUGAUUUGCAUAUUCAAAUAUGCAAAUGAGACGCGACAGCUCUCCUUCAUUUUUGUUUGGGUUUUAUUUUUUAAUUUUUCUUUCCAGACUCUUGCCUCAAAGAUCCUUGUCUUGGACUGAAAGGUGUGUGUUUAAUCUGGCUUGGCCCAUGGUAGGAGACCAUGCCAAGGGCUGGUUCUGUCCCGUGAGAGUUGGGGAUGAUGGAAAAUAAAGUGGAAAAAAGACUUUGCACUGCGCUUAUCCCUGUCUUGGCCAGGGAUGGGAAAGAUUUCAGGGGUGUUUUCCCAGGUUCCAGCCCUGGGAAAGGACAACACGUUCUUUCUCUCUCCUGCCUGUGCACACCACAGAUGCUUUACAGGCCGAACGUGGCUGUUCCUGGGGAGUGUGAGUAAAGGGGCGUUGAGAUGAGUCCUGGUGCUCCAGUGGGGAAGGUCCGGACAGAGCAGCCCUCACUCAGGUGUCCCCAGUCACCAGACUGUCAGGAGCUGUGGCAGAGCCCACCCCAGCUCUUGGGAUGAUCUGAGGAGCAGGCAACUGCAGACAAAACUGCUCCUCGAGGCACCUCUUCCCUCCCCCUGGCUCCCUUUCUCUGCAGGAAAACAGCACUGACCCCCCAAACACACACACACAGGGCCCCCCACCCUCCCCAGCAGCCCCUCCAGACCGUUCUCAUGCAGCCUGAGAUGCCUGAAUUGCUCAUUUUUCAGCAAAAGUUCUUUCCUGUACGUUUAGCAUCCCUCACUGCGAGGUGGGCUGUACAUCAACUGCACAUCGACUGCAAGUCCCUGUCAUGGUUUUGUAUGUCUGUGCUUGUGGCUUGCCCUUCCUGUCUCUGGAGAAACAAGUUUGUUUCACUGUUUUUCAUAUUCAUUAUUAUUUUCUCAUUACUAAUUUAGUUGCAGCCUUCCCUGCUUCCACUCUUGCACUGAAGACCAUGACUUCUGUGGUCAGUCUGGGCUCUGAGUGGCUUGGGCACCAGCCAGGGAACAAGCAAGGCUGAUUCCAGCACGGAAAGAAUCAGGCAAUGUAGAAAAACGAUCAUCUUGUAAUAGCUCUAAAGGAUUUAAAGAUUAAGACACAAACCUCACAUUUGAACAGGGUUUCUCUGAGAAAAUACACUCUUCCACUUUGUGCCCAUGUGCAACGUGCCUGAGUGGAAGGAUUCUCAAGUUCUGGAUGUCAGUGACUUCACUGCCUUCUCUUACAGCUGCAAAGUGAUUACAGUGGUCUUCACCCACUUCUGCAAAGCACAUCUGUCAUAGGUUAGCAAGCAUAGUCCCGGAAGGGACGUCCUUGCUAAGGGGUGCUUACAGUUUCCUCUGGGAACUGAUAGAACCUAUCAGCUGGCCAGUUUGAAUAUGGACAAUUCUCUAAGCCACUUAAAGUUGUGAUCACCUCUGUGAUCCACAUUUAAGAAUAGGCAAACUCCCCCUCCAAGCUCUCUCUCGUUUCCAGCGCUGGGACAGGCGGCUGCGGGCCCCGUGUGGGGGCCAGCGGGCCCGGCCAGGCCCUGCUUGGGCCAGGCCGGGCCGGGCCACGGCCAUCCUGAAGCCAUGGACCUGUUCCAGCCAUGGAACCCCCCCCACUGCCUUGCCGUGGGCAGCCGGAGCGGCUCGGCUCUCCCCCCUCUCCACUGCGAUAAGAAAAAUUCAACAUUCCAGCUGCAAAGCUGCAAGGCCGAGGUGAGAUUAACCCUUUUAUUGCUGUGAAGAGCUGAAAACCUGAGGGAAGAGAGAGAGGAGAUGCUUAAAGCUGAAAUUCUGUUGUGAAGCUAUGAUAUAUCAGAGUAUCCUGUUGUAAUUUCAUGAAGAUAUGGGGGGUGGAGUGUUCAACUCGUAAGCAAAAGCACCUGCGCUGAGAUAGGCAGAUGCUGACGCAGCUGUAAUUUCAUGAGAAGUUUGGACAGGGAGAGAUGAACCAGAUGAGGACUUUUGCUCCAAACGGGAAAGGAGAAAACCUCAGUCCCUAGAGAUGAACCAGAUGAGGACUUUUGCUCCAAAUGGGAAAGGA
rnacentral:lncRNA from 13 species